GGAGCUUUCUGCACCAUGCACUUCUGCUAUAAUGUUCUUCCUUACUAUAGGCCUACAAGCAAUGGAGCCAGCUGACCAUGUACUGAAACUUCCAAAACGUGAGCAGAAUUUUGUCCAUCUUUUAAAGGAUAGCUUCCCCAUCUCUCGAUUGCUCUGGAGUGAUCCGUGGGCUAUAAAGGUACGGUCUACUCAAGAAAUGGUGAAAAUUUUCAUCGAAUUGAAGUCUCACUAAGGUUCAGUGGGUGGAAGUUCUGGAAAUGUUAGUUCUAACUAAACUGGCCUUUGUAGUCCAAAGUUUGUAGGGGCAAAAAUGAAUUUUGUUUAAAAUGGGAGAAUGACAUGCUCAGGUUGAAUUUUUAAGAAGAUAGCAUUAGUGGGAUGGAGUCACAGAUGGCAGGACAUUUCCACUGUCAGCAUAUUCUCCUCCUCUUUUCUAG
ensembl:lncRNA